GCCUGUGACAUCAUCGGGUCAUUUUCUGCAGCUGGUGAAGGUCGGUCAGUGAUGAAGAUUUUUCUUCCUGCAGAUAACAGUGGAGCUCAGGAAGGACGAGGAUUACAUCAUCCCAGUCUGGAUUAUUCUGGGCAGCUCACUGGGCGGCCUGCUGCUGCUGGCCUUACUGGUCCUGGCCCUGUGGAAGCUCGGCUUCUUCAACAGACGGAGGAGACAGGAAGAGGAGGAGCAGCCCGUAGCCAAUGGGAAGGCAGCAGAGGAGCUAUGAUGUGUGGGCGACACUGAUGCUGCCUUCAGAGACCACAGUCAGCUGAAUGCAUCAUGAGCCUCCACCUGUCACUCAGGGACCCUAAUGCCCCCCCCCCCCCCCCCCCCCAAAUGCUCAACCAAUUACAGCCAUUGAGAACUAAUAAGUCAGCCAAUCAGCUGCCCCCAAUUCAACAGAACCAAAUGAGUCGCAGCUCAGCUUUACUGUAACCUGUUACCUAUUUAUGAACCGGCCAAUCGGCUUCAACUAUAAUGAGAGAGAGAGAGAGAGAGAGAGAGAGAGAGAGAGAGAGAGAGAGAGAGAGAGAGAGAGAGAGAGAGAGAGAGAGAGAGAGAGAGAGAGAGAGAGAGAGAGAGAGAGAGAGAGAGAGAGAGAGAGAGAGAGAUAUAUCAGGCAUUGAUGACGAUUGAUGGUUGAUGGAUUGCUGUUGCCUCAGAUUGAAAAUCACUGUUUGGCUGACGACCAACAGUUUCUCCUGGUUUCCGUGACGACUCAGACACUCUGAGUGUCCUCACACAGGAAGUGCUUUAGAAACGGAAGCAGAGCGGGAAACUUCCUGACGACGUCUGAUCUGAGAAGAGACUACCUAAGAUCGCUGACUGGAUGUUUUCCUUUUAUACUAAUGGAAAUUGUAAAUCUAUCUUAUAAACACAUCUUGUAUUUUAUUUCAAAUUCAUAGCUGAAGCACUUUUGUUGUAUAAAGUUGAACUUGAACUGUGUAAAUAUGAACGAGGAUGAAAAGGAUAGUGGCAUUAAUGUCAGAUGUGAAGCCGCUCCGUCUGCGUACCUUCUCCUUUCACACCUUCCGUAUUUGUGUUGAAAAUAAAGUUACGUCUUUCGUAUUCAUUGGUUCUGAUUUGAUCCUGAUCCCA
rnacentral:lncRNA from 1 species